GGAGCUGUGGCCCAGUGGUUAGAGCACCUGCCCUGCAUGCAGAAGAAGGCCCUGGGUUCAAUUCCUGCCAAUUCCA